GAUGAACGCUGGCGGCGUGCCUAAUACAUGCAAGUCGAGCGAGCAGACGAGGAGCUUGCUCCUCUGACGUUAGCGGCGGACGGGUGAGUAACACGUGGAUAACCUACCUAUAAGACUGGGAUAACUUCGGGAAACCGGAGCUAAUACCGGAUAAUAUAUUGAACUGCAUGGUUCAAUAGUGAAAGACGGUUUUGCUGUCACUUAUAGAUGGAUCCGCGCCGCAUUAGCUAGUUGGUAAGGUAACGGCUUACCAAGGCAACGAUGCGUAGCCGACCUGAGAGGGUGAUCGGCCACACUGGAACUGAGACACGGUCCAGACUCCUACGGGAGGCAGCAGUAGGGAAUCUUCCGCAAUGGGCGAAAGCCUGACGGAGCAACGCCGCGUGAGUGAUGAAGGUCUUCGGAUCGUAAAACUCUGUUAUUAGGGAAGAACAAAUGUGUAAGUAACUAUGCACGUCUUGACGGUACCUAAUCAGAAAGCCACGGCUAACUACGUG
rnacentral:rRNA from 1 species